UCGGAUAUGGUGUAGUGGCUAACAUUAUCGCCUCUCAUUUCGGAUCUGGGGAAUCGAACCCCGGAUUUCAAUUCAGACUGCGCGAUAGCCCGGGGUUCGAUUCCCCGUAUCCGAA
rfam:Schizopora paradoxa strain KTC8140 unplaced genomic scaffold SCHPAscaffold_00005, whole genome shotgun sequence.